CAGUAGCCGCGGUAAGACAGAGGAUGCAAGCGUUAUCCGGAAUGAUUGGGCGUAAAGCGUCUGUAGGUGGCUUUUCAAGUCCGCCGUCAAAUCCCAGGGCUCAACCCUGGACAGGCGGUGGAAACUACCAAGCUGGAGUACGGUGGGGGCAGAGGGAAUUUCCGGUGGAGCGGUGAAAUGCGUUGAGAUCGGAAAGAGCACCAACGGCGAAAGCACUCUGCUGGGCCGACACCGACACUGAGAGACGAAAGCUAGGGGAGCAAAUGGGAUUAGAUACCCCCGUAGUCCCUGUCUCUUAUAC
rnacentral:rRNA from 1 species